rnacentral:lncRNA from 1 species
UGAUGACUAAAUUACAAAAUAUAUAAAAGUGGUAUAUGAAGUACAUGAUAAGGAUUAUUAGUAAAUUAUGGAUGAAUAGUGAAUUUUGAAAAAUAUUACAUGUAUUAAAGGUAGAGAAGACAUAAAUAAACGGAUUAUUGGUACAAGGAUUAAAUUGUAAAGCAUGUAAAAGCAUUAUGCGAAAGGUGUAAAAGUGAUAUGCGUGCAUGAAAUAAUUUGCCCAAGUAGGCAAGAUUAGAACUACUAGGAAAUUAAGGGACCUCAGCACAUUCAGCACAUUCGUACUCUCUGUAUAGCACUUCAGUGUUCUCUGUUUAAUAGUGCAUAAUAACACACCUCUGUAUAAGUCCCGUAUAUCCGAAGUGUUCUAUCUAGUCUACUGGGCCUCUGCUAAGUAAAAAGUAAACAAUUUUCGUUAUGAGGAAAAGAAUUAUCUCUGAGUAAAAAUGUUAUUUAUGAUGAAGCAGAACUCGUAAAAGUACAGAUAAAUGUUUUAAAGUACUUGAGAAUGAUAAAUGUUAUAUGAGUAAAUACAUGACAAUUAAAUUAUGAGGCUUUACGAUCUAUACCCCUUUACUAAUACAGUUAUAUGUAAUGAAAGUCAUGAGAUUUAUAUUGAUUAAGUUCAGAAGCGGAAAGUGAAAAGCUCAAUGGUUAAACAAUUGAUAAUGCAGUCGGAAUUGAGAAUGAGUUAAUAAGUAAAGAUGGGUUCUGAAUAAAGAUAUCAGAUUUUUCUUAAACUAGUUGAGAUAUACUAUAUCACUGUUAAAGAAAGAAGUUAUUUAUGGGAAAAUCGAUUUAUUUAAAUAUGGUAUUUACAGAAUAGUUAACUGAAAAUUUCUUCCGAAUUAGUUUUUUUUGAGUGAAGUAAAUAAUGUGAAAUUAUUGAUAACUAUACUAGUCAAUAGAUUGGUGAAUAAAUUGCAAAAAUAUUUGAAUAUAGCCGUUAUAACUGGGUAUAUUAUAGUAAUUUUUUUUUUGGAUUUUAUAUGGGUAUAUUAUAUAUACUGAUAUUUUCAGAGGCAUAUGGAACUGUUCAUGUUUGGAUGCUAUAAUCAAUAUAUGGAAAGGUUGGAUAAAUAUGCUAAUAGACAGAAAUUAUCGCAAGUCUGAUUAAUUCACAAGUGGUACUACUCUAUCUUUCUUCGGUUUUCCAAGCAAAUAUAUGUGAUAGAACACUUGAUAAUAAGAUUCAUAUGAUAUUAUUUUCUAUUUCUGUUGGUAGAAGCUCUGAAAGGCAAAUGUGAAAUAUUGUAUUGAAAAUAAAUUAUGAAAUGAAAGGAUAGAGAAUGGAUAUAAAUGAUAAACUGGGUAAAUAUGUACAGAAAGGAACUAUAGAACUACAGAAAUAAUGAAAUUCAUGAUCAAAAGAGAACAACGAAAUUUCGAGGACGAAAUUUAUUUAAGGGGGAGAGAAAUGUAAUACCUUAAAAAAUUUUACAGUAAGAUAUUAUCCUUGAUAUAGUAAAAUAAAUAAAUAAAGUGACAAAAAGGGAAAUUUUGAGUUAUGUCAAUAUUGAGAAGUAUAUUAUGAUAUAUUAAUUCAAGAAAGGACCUAAUUGUAAAAUUGAGAAAAGUUUUGUUGCACAAGAGUAAAUAUUCAUAAUUUGAGGGGUUAAAGUGUAAAUAUAAAAAAGUUGAAGGACCAAUAGUUUAAAUAAUUUAAGAGUGGAAUGAUCUAGAAACUAAGGAAAAUGGAUGAAUUAGGACCAAAUUGAAUAGAUGAAGAACUAUGAGGGACUAAAUUGCAAUUUUACCAAAUUAAAUGAUGACUCAAGGAUGGAAUUUUAAAAGAUAAUGAAGGGCAAAAUGGUCAAUUGGAAGAGAGAGAAAUCUAGAAAUAAUAAUGAUGCUAGAGAUAUUUUGAUAUUUUAUAAUUAUUUCAUUAGAUAAAUAUUAUUUUAUUAAUACUUUAAUAAGAUAUUUUAUUAUUACUUUAUUAGUAUAUAAAGAAAGAAAGAUGAGAAAUUCUCAUCCAUAUUUUCCCAUGCACUAACGUGAGAGAAAGAGAGGAAGAGAGAAAGUUUUGCUUUCUUUACAAUUUGGUCCUUUUACCAAAAAUUCACCAUUUUCACCCAAAAAUCAAAUGAAUUUCCAUAGCUACCAAGAGACAAAAAUGUUAAGAAGAGCAUGGGGAGUUAGAAUAUCAAUUUGGAUUCAAGAAAUAGAAGCUAGAGGAGAGAGAAAAUCAAGUUAAAUAUUAGUAUCAAUAGGACAAGGUAAGUAUAUCAAGAUUUCAAUAUGUUUUUAAGUUUGUUAUUAUUGACAAAGCAUGGAAAUAAUGUUAUAGUAGAGUUUUCUUACAUAAGGUCCUAUGUUUUUGAUAUGUUAGUGAAGAGAAAAUAAGAGAAAGUGAUGAGAAAUGGUGUAGAAAAAGAAAAUAAGGGUGGUAUAACAUGGUAAUUAAUUGCUUGCACAAAAACAGUUUGGACAGCAGCAGUAGACUAAUUUUGAAAAAUCACCAUAUAUUGUAGAAAUCGAAUUAGAAGAUGAAAAAAAUAUGGAAUUAAAGCUUAUUGAGUAUAGUUUCUCAUAGAAAAAUAGUGUAAGCAAUGGAUUUGUAAAUGUUGAGAUAUAAUGAAUUUUGUGAGACAAGGUCAGAAUGAAUCCGGGUUCCCCUGUUCUGACUUUGAAAAAUCAUAAAAUAUUGAAAAAAAUAAUUAGGGGCUUAAAUUUAUAUUUAUAAAAUCCUGAAUGAGUCUAUUUUUGAGAGAAACAAACAAGAACAUCAUUUGAAUCCUAUAUGAGGAGAUAAUUAAUUUUUGGUGAAGAGGGGUCAGCACUAUCAGACAGCAGAACAGGGGUAACUUUAAAGAAUAAACUGUACUUAUUGGCUAAACUAAAAAUUCUUAAAUUUUUAUGGUAAUAAUAUAUAUGAGUCUAGAUUCAGGGAAAAUUAUCGGAUAUUAAUUUGGAGUUCUAUAGAUCCAGAUAUAAAUAAUUUAGUGACUAUGAUGCAAAUAGACAGCUUGAAUAUUCAUAAAAGUAAAUAAUAAAAAUUAUGGAUAAUGUUACUUACAAGUGUGUUAUCUACAUUAAGGAUGUGGAAUGGAGAGGAGGAGGAGGAAAAAUAUGUAUGAAUAUUCAUCUAGCAUGGCUAAUUUGCAUAUUUUAGGCUCAGGGACUAAAUUGAGUAAAAGUAAAACUUUAUGGGCAAUUUUGUAAACAUGUCAAAAAUGACCAAAUUGCAUGAAAUGGAUUAUUUUAUUAUUUAAAUUACAAAAUUGAAUGAAAUUAUUAAUUCAGUUCAAGAUCAGGGGAAAACAUGUUUUAGGGAUUAAAUUGAAAAGUGUUGAAAUUAUGAAAAAUUCUGAUAUUUUAUAGAAUUCAUGGAUUUUUAUCAAUAUAUAUGAGAAUAAUAGCUGGAAAUAAGGAUUAAAUUGCAAGAAUUUUAUUUUCCUGACCUUAAGGAUGAAAUCGUCAUUAAUUAAAAGUUUAGGGGCAAAAUGGUAAUUUUGCCUAGAGCAUUAAUUAAAUGCAUUAGAAUAUGAAAUGAAUGAAAAUGAUGAUAAAAUUUAUUUAUAAAGAUCCGAACGACUCAAAUAUGAGACUUGAUCGUGGAAAAGAAAAGAUAUCAAAUUAAUGAAAUUAUAAACACAAACAAGCAAUGACGUAAGUUCGUGUAACUUGAAUUAUAUUCUUAAAUGCUUGAGAUUGCAUGUUAUUUAUGUGAAUAAGAUUUGAAUGUUCAUUGUAUGAAAAUUUAUGAAACAUUGAUAAAUUUGAUAAAAGGAGAAGAAAUCUCGGUUGAAUGAAAGGAAAAUUUUAUGGAUCUCUGAAAAGGAAUUGAUGGUAAAAAGGAUCUAGCCCGGACGGGUGAUCCUAUCCUGAUAUAGCCCUCCCGAAGAAUAUGUGUAAAACGGAUUUAGCCCGGACGGGUAAUCCAAAUUAGGGUCUGAAUUUAGCCUGGACUGGUAAUUCAGAUCCAGACUCAUUAGAGUAAUUGUCGUUGCAGGGGAUUUAGCCUGGACUGGUAAUCCCGACAAUACUCUAUGAGUUUAUAUUACAGGGGAUUUAGCCUAGACUGGUAAUCCUACUGUAAGGAUGAGGUUCUCGGGAGUGUGCUCUCUGAUAUGAAAUGUGUAAGACCAUGGUUGAAAGAUACCAUGGCAACCUGUGUCUAAGAACAUGGUUGAAAGAUGGUUGAAAGAUACCAUGGCAACCUGAUAUGAAAUGUGUAAGACCAUGGUUGAAAGAUACCAUGGCAACCUGAUAUGAGAUGUGUAAGACCAUGGUUGAAAGAAACCAUGGCAACGUGACAUGAAAAGAAUAAGACCAUGGUUGAAAGAUACCAUGGCAACAUGACAAAAAAUGAGUAAGACCAUAGUUGAAAGACACUAUGACAUCACGUCAAAGAUAAAUAAGACCGUGGAUGGGAUCAGGUAAAAUGUAUCAGAUGACGAAUGGUUAUAUGAAAUGGUUGUGUGAAAUGUUUACAAGAACUGGUCAUAUGGAAAUAUAUGUACAAAAGCGUUGUAUGAAAUAAUUAUGAAAAUGGAUAAAUGAAGUAAGUAUAAGUACAUGGAAUGUAAUUUAUGUUAAGUUUGAUAUAAGCUAUUACCAGAAUAAAUAUACAUAAAAUAUAUGGAAAUGAUGAAGCAUAAAAUAUUGAUAUAAUGAAAUGAAUGAUAUAUGCUUGUGAAGAAACGGUAAGAGCAUGAUAUGUUUCAUGACAUGUACAUAUAUGAUUGAUUAUCUUUGAUAUGUUGAUACAAGGAAAUUAUGUAACUGAGUCUAUUAUUAAACUCAAGUGCGACAUGUCGAGAAAAUAGAUAUACCAAUGUUGAAUUUAUAUGAGAUAUGUGCAAGUAUACUAACAAUGUUGUUGUUUGAUGCUUAUACAAGUUCCAAACUGUUGAUUGAAUGGUAAUAUAUUUAUUUUAUAUGAUGCAUUGAAUCGGUAAGUAUUUUAAUUUUUUUAAAUGAUCUGCAAAUGGUAGUAAUGCUCCGAAACCCUGUUCUGGCAGCGGAUACGGGUUAAGGGUGUUAUAUUUAGUGGUUUCAGAGCUACGGUUUAGUCGGUUCUCGGACUAAACGUAGUAUAUGUGAAGUCUAAAAACACAUGUCAUUAUAAUAUAUGAUAGUAUGAUAUCUCCCGACUCUGAUGAGAUUUAUUUUACUUAUAAAAUUAGAUGCUUUCUAACCCAAGAUAAUUCUGAUAAUGCUAAAAACGAUACUCAGGUAUAUGAGUACAUAGUUGAUUAGAAUGAAUCGGAAUUCAUAAAGGUAUGAAUAAAUACAUGUCGAUGAUGAAUGUUAUGUGUAUUAUUAAAAGUAAAUUAUAUUGCUACACGUAAUAUUGUGCUGAUGACUAAAUUACAAAAUAUAAUAAAGUGGUAUAUGAAGUACAUGAUAAGGAUUAUUAGUAAAUUAUGGAUGAAUAGUGAAUUUUGAAAAAUAUUACAUGUAUUAAAGGUAGAGAAGACAUAAAUAAACAGAUUAUUGGUACAAGGAUUAAAUUGUAAAGCCUGUAAAAGCAUUAUGCAAAAGGUGUAAAAGUGAUAUGCGUGCAUGAAAUAAUUUGCCCAAGUAGACAAGAUUAGAA